UCACUUCUGAUUUCUUUACUCUUUCUCUCCCUCCUCCUCCUCCUAGCAGCCACUAAUCCUACAGUCGAGUGAGACGUCUGUUUGACGACACGUACUCUACGCCUCACAUGACUGAGCCCCUUCAUGUGGCCACCAGUGCAGCCCACUUUCAUGCGAUUUCCGCGUGGAUUUCGUACACUGAAAAGGGAGCGUGUGAGCAAAAAAAAAAAAAUCGGCGACUUUGCGAUGUCUUUUCCUGCCUCCCUUUCUCCCUCUUGGCAGGAGGGUAAAAGUGGGCAGGGAGAGAGGAGGGCAUGGCCCAGAAACUGCUCUGAAGCCCCAGCCCCUGUUCGAGUGGGGUUGCUUGCUGGUGCCCCGCUCAGCCUUUCCCCCGUCUUGCAGGCGAAAGAGAGGGAUGUGGAAAUGCAUUCUCGUCUCCUUUCUAACCCGCCUUUUUUUUCUUCGUUUUUUGUUGUUGUCGUCGCCACCUCGGCCUUAUUGUCUGCGGGUGAACACUCGCCUGAUCUUAACAAAAAACUCAGUUCGACCAACAAGCCUCCACUGCUACCUGCACAACUAUCUGUCCUUAAGGCUGAGGUAGUAGAUUGAAUAGUUGUGGGGUUCAUGUCCUCCUUUUGAGAUAACUAUACAAUCUACUGUCUUUCCGAAGGAAACAGGUUAAUCUUCCACGAUGCCGAAGGCUGUACGCACAAGGGAAGCUCCGUGGAUUAAAAGAACACAAAGACUGAGUAAAUACCAUAUUUAACAUGAACUUAACCUACACCUGUGGAGAUGAACCUGCAGACACAACAAAGACUCCACAGGUUUACAAGAUGCAACAGUGGAAGUCUGAAGUUGGUACACAACCACCAAAGGCUUGCUUUGAAGGAUGUAGAUUUGUGCUUGAAGUUGAGCCUAGCAAGGUGAGGUAGUAGGUUGUAUAGUUUGUGGGAUGGAGUAAGUCCUACUCAGGUGAUAACUAUACAGUCUAUUACCUUCCUUGAGAGGUACAAUGAGUGCUUGGGAUGAAGUUCACUCACCCACAGAGGGACGACAGAGACACUCUGACGCCAUCUUGUGGCCGAAGACAAACAUCGCUUUGAAAAUGAUUUGUGUGCUUCUGUUUUCUGUGAACGAUAUGAACAGUUUAUGACGAACUGAUGACAAUACUGAGAAUUACAGUUCAUUCACUGCUGUUUUGACAAUUUAGAACUAAAGACAUGAUCUGAUACAUUAUUAAAAACCAGAAUUUUGUCAUUCUACAGUCAGAUUAGAGGACUGCCAUUAGACUGAUGGUAAAUUAGUUUGAUGAUCCUGGUAAAAGAGCCACAGUUAACCCUCAUGUCGCCCUGCAGGCCAAAUUGACCUGUUCUAAAGUUUGAAAAUGUGGAAAAAAUACAUAUAUUUUCACAGUGAAACUUCCACAUUUUCUGGAAAUUUUUGAACAUUUCUUGGUGGAAAAAAGAAAUGUUAAAAAAACGUUUCUUUAAGAACAUUCAGAAAACAAAUCAACCAAAAUCCAGUGAAUUUUGCUGGAUUUUGGUUGAUUUUUUUUAAAGGACUUUCACUGAUAAAUAUGGAAUCACUUUAGAUAUUCUUAGAAGAUUUAUUUAUAUUUUUGAAAAUAUAUUUUUAAAUAUUUUUUAAUUUUUUGUCAAAUUUGGGAAUUUUUUUUAAAGUUAAACUUUUAAGGAAAACCUUUAAAGAAUUUUCUUCCUGAAGAUUUUGCAAGUUUUUAUAGAUUUGGAGAAUUUUUUUGCAGAAUGUUUGGAUUUCUUUCAGACAAGGGAGCAAUAUUUUUGGUGGCAUAAAUGAGGACAACGGGACGGUUAAAGACUUAAAAAUCCAGAAAUAGGAAACGAGAGUGUUUUGGGCAUUUGAAAGUAGAACUCUGUGUCACAUCCUAUUGAGAUGCACACCGCAGAUAGGCUUAUUCUGAGGUUUACCAGCUUAUUUAACAUAUUUAACCCUAUGAUGCAGUGAGGAGCUUCUCAUGUCUAAACAACCAUGCAGGAAGACACAUCCUGUGGUAGAAAUGUUAAUCUGUCUUAGAAGGGUCAAAUGAUUGGCCUGCAUCAAGCAAAGAAAACAACUAAGGAGAUGAAACAGCUAAAAUCAGGUUAAAGGCAUUAGAGGAGAUUUAAUUUCCUAUGACUUUGAACGUAGCAUGCGCACAUACAACCUCUCCCUCACCCCCCUCUAACCUCCCCCCUCUUAAGAUUUACGAAGAAACGCCCCCCUCCAGAAACUUGCGUAGGACUCGUUGGAGUGCCUCUAGGACUCGUGAAGUUGCCUGCAGCCGCAGUAUAAUACAAUAAUACAUGUUACCUGUCCAGAAGGAAUUUAGCAACCAAGGCAUCUGUCUUUAGGUCCAUUUGUUGCUUGAGCUGACGCCAUCACCCAAAUGACUCGCCAAUAAUCACUUUUGUUUUUGCAUUCUCGCGAUCCAGUCGUCUUUUAUUUUCUCUGACCUCAAAAAAUGACUCUCUUUUACGGCUGGGUCCCCCUGGAUCUUUAUCUGCCAUUAUGUAAAUAAAGAUGAGCAAAACAAGUCGCCAGCUAACUACGAAGCUAUACCAAAGCAACACAUACAGAAAACACGUAAGUCCAAGGCGUACGUAAUCUACGUAACUAGGCCUGAGCUGGAAGAUUUUUGAUUGACAGGAAAGGGAGCAAACCAAACGCCUCGGUCCGAGCGCGUUGAUUGGCUGAUGUUUUUCAGGUCCUGCCAUGUCCACAGUUAUUUUAUUUUAUUUUUUUAGAGACCAUACAUACAAGUCCACUAAAGGUCAGUAUAUUCAUUUUACGUGAAUCAGACAAAUUAAAAAACAAAAACAUCCUCCAUAAUGCCUUUAAGAACCGUCCAAUGCAUCAUUAAAACCUGGAGGAUCGUGGUGGACCAUCACCCUCCAGGAACAAAUGUGAUCAGAACAAACUCUUAGAUGAUCGUAGGAAAUCAACAGCAGAACCCACGGUUAUGUUUAAUACUGAGAGUAAGAUCAUUUUCACACACAAUGCAAAGGGAUGAGUUCAGGGAUCAUUAGACGUCAUUCUCACACGUGGAUUGUCCUCCACAGAAUCCAGACCUCAGCUCCAUUGGAGAAAUUUUGGGACGUUCUGCAGAAGACUUUGUCCAACUCUCCCAUCAUCAGUCUAAGAUCUUGGCAGAACAUUAAUGAAUGUCUGGACAGAAAUAAAUGCUGUGACACUGCAGAAGCUUCUCAAAACGACGCCACGGCGAAUGAUACUCAACGCUAAAGGCGGUCCAAGAAAAUAUUUGAGUGGGCAACUUGUUUAUUUGGACGGGCAGCGUAUUUAAAAUGGACAGGAAGUACAUACGGUCUAAAAGCAUUAAUAAACAUCAAAUACGGCUCCAUGUGGCUUCAGUCACACCUACUCCAUUUGUGUUUGAGCUGGCAAUUCUAAAAUUAAGGAAAUGAAAGAAACUUUCAGGAACCUGAAUGAAAUGAUGCGUUGGUGAAAUCAUGAAUCGAGCGUGCAGGCAUGUCCUGUCAGCUCAUGUUUCUUCAAAGCUCACGCAAAACUGUGACACAAGAAGUACAAGUAAAUGCACAAGUGGUUUUAUUCUAUUUAUUUAUUUUAACAGGGAAGUCUUUACAAUUUGGCAAAAAAAAGUGCAAGUUAAACAACACUAAAACCAGGGGACAAAUGUAUGGAGGUUUGGGGAAAAAGGGGACAAAACGAUUGUCAGUAUUAAGACAGCUGUAAUUAAUUCCAAUUAGACACAGUAAGUAAGCUUGGAAAACCAAGUUCUCCUAUUUUCUUCUGCAAACUGUUUGAAACAGCUGCAGCAGAAAGCACUAAAGCCUUCUUUACCAUCUCUGCCUCUAAAGUUUGGAAAAUCCUAAGAGACGGUCUGGCGUUUGUAUUCUUUGUCUAAAAACAGUCCUUUAAAUGACAUCAGCAGGUUUUUACAGUGGGUUCAUUCCUCAAUUCAAGUCUACUGUCCAGUUUGCUUGUUAUAAAUAAACCAGUACAGGUAAUAAAGUCUAUAGCAGGGGUGUCAAACUCAUUCUAGUUCAGGGACAUUCAGCCCAGUUUGACCUCAAGUGGGCCGGAGCAGAAAAAAUCCCAGCAUAAUCAAGAAACAAAAUGAGGCAAAGGACACAAAACUGAACAAAAAAGGGGGG